GAUGAACGCUAGCGGCAGGCCUAACACAUGCAAGUCGAGGGAGAAGCCCUUUCGGGGGCAGAAACCGGCGCACGGGUGCGUAACGCGUAUGCAACCUACCUUUCACAGGGGGACAGCCCGAAGAAAUUUGGAUUAAUACCCCAUAAUAUUAUUGGAUGGCAUCAUUUGAUAAUUAAAACUGCGGUGGUGAAAGAUGGGCAUGCGUCCUAUUAGCUAGUUGGAGUGGUAACGGCACCCCAAGGCUACGAUAGGUAGGGGUCCUGAGAGGGAGAUCCCCCACACUGGUACUGAGACAGGGACCAGACUCCUACGGGAGGCAGCAGUGAGGAAUAUUGGUCAAUGGUCGGAAGACUGAACCAGCCAUGCCGCGUGCAGGAAGAAUGCCUUAUGGGUUGUAAACUGCUUUUAUAUGGGAAGAAUAAGGCGUACGUGUACGUUGAUGACGGUACCAUAUGAAUAAGCAUCGGCUAACUCCGUG
rnacentral:rRNA from 1 species